ensembl:lncRNA
CACGCCAGUCUUUCUUGUAAUAAAGAGCAUUCUUUGGGUUUUAUAGGCUUGUGUGGGUCCUCAGCAAUGAAUGCUUUUUUUCCACCAUUUGGAUUAAGGUAGACACGCACUGAAUCACCUACAUUAGUGAUUGUCAGUGUGUGCUUUGAGGUGAAACUUCCUCUGUGUACCCUAUUUCUGCUCUAAUCUCUAGCUGGGAAGGGGAUAAUAUUUCCAAGUGAGAUAGAUGUGGGUGGUCAUGAUUACUGCAGUGAGGAGUUUGCCUGGUGACACCAGAGACCCAUGGGGAUGCAAGGCCACAUCCCACGUGGAGAAACCAGCUCGUGCAUGAGCUCAAGGUGACCCCAGCCCUCUGUGCAGCUCACAGAGACAGUAGCUACUCUCUUCCUCAUGCCAAGGGGUUAAACACUUUGUUUCCUUGCAGCAGGCACUGGGAUCCUUCCAGCCGUGGUUUAGCAGCUGAGUACUGGGAGCGUUUCGUCUGUAUGUAGAACUGUGCUUUCCUUCAAAGCAGGAGAGUGCUGCAAGUCUCUCAUCUCUCCUCAUCCAUGUGGGUGGAAAAACCACCUCUAGCAACACCUGGCAGUGACCUGUGCUGCUCCUUGAUUUCCCUUCUGACUUGAUGCCUGCUGUGACUCCAAAUCACCAGGAUGUUUCCGCUCUGAAGCACAGAUCCACGUGUUCCCCUCACUGUGGUGUUUCUACAGUGGGAUGGAAGCAGGUUUCCUUUGGGAAGGCAGGGGGAGGGAUGGCAUCAGGUUUCUAUUUCCAUACACUGCACCAUUCCCUCAAGCUCUCUCUCCUUCACACACAAUUACUGCCUUGUAGAUAGUGAGGAAUUCCAUUUCUUCCCUUUUUCUCUCAUAGAUUCUAUCUGUCUUUUUCCUGCAGUUGAGACCAGUCCCACACCUGAUCCUCUAAGUAACAAAAGAGCCUUGAAAGGAAUCAGACAUCACCUACUCUGCUGUUUUCUAUAUAUAACCACUGCACAACACACUUCCCAAAAUAAGCUGCAGUGCCAAGUGAUUGCUGCAUUGUCACAGGGCACAAGAUUAGAACCACAGCCCCUCAGCUUUCAGGAAAGCUUUUAUAGCCAACCUGAC